rnacentral:rRNA from 1 species
AGAGUUUGAUCCUGGCUCAGGACGAACGCUGGCGGCGUGCCUAAUACAUGCAAGUCGAGCGAACCGAUAGAGAGCUUGCUUUCUUGAGGUUAGCGGCGGACGGGUGAGUAACACGUGGGCAACCUGCCCUAUAGACUGGGAUAACUCGCGGAAACGCGUGCUAAUACCGGAUAACACAUCAAAGUGCAUGCUUUGAUGUUGAAAGAUGGUUCUGCUAUCACUAUAGGAUGGGCCCGCGGCGCAUUAGCUAGUUGGUAGGGUAACGGCCUACCAAGGCGACGAUGCGUAGCCGACCUGAGAGGGUGAUCGGCCACACUGGGACUGAGACACGGCCCAGACUCCUACGGGAGGCAGCAGUAGGGAAUCUUCCACAAUGGGCGGAAGCCUGAUGGAGCAACGCCGCGUGAGCGAAGAAGGUCUUCGGAUCGUAAAGCUCUGUUGUAAGGGAAGAACAAGUGCAGUAGUAACUGGCUGCACCUUGACGGUACCUUACGAGAAAGCCACGGCUAACUACGUGCCAGCCGCCGCGGUAAUAC